CUAAAUAAAAAGGUAUCAAUUACUUUGUAGUAUCUAUUUCUCAUAUCCCAAUGGCUUCUCCUAUUAACUUCAACUUCCCUUAUUUCUCUCCACCACCACCUCACCAGCCUUUCCAGCCACCUCCUCCUCCAUACCAUCCAACCUCACCACCACCUCCACCACCACACAAUCCAGUUUCUCCACCACCACCACCCCACCAUCCAAUCACUCCACCGCCACCUCAUGUACAUCCUCCACCACCUCCCCAUGUGCGUCCACCACCACCAGCACCACUUCCUCCAGCACCAUCACCGAGUAACCAUACAGUUAUAAUAAUUGUAUUCGUCUCAUGCGGCGGCGUGUUCUUCCUAGC
rnacentral:lncRNA from 1 species